rnacentral:rRNA from 1 species
UGCAAGCUCGAACGAUGAAGCCCAGCUUGCUGGGUGGAUUAGUGGCGAACGGGUGAGUAACACGUGAGUAACCUGCCCUUAACUCUGGGAUAAGCCUGGGAAACUGGGUCUAAUACCGGAUAGGAGCGUCCACCGCAUGGUGGGUGUUGGAAAGAUUUAUCGGUUUUGGAUGGACUCGCGGCCUAUCAGCUUGUUGGUGAGGUAAUGGCUCACCAAGGCGACGACGGGUAGCCGGCCUGAGAGGGUGACCGGCCACACUGGGACUGAGACACGGCCCAGACUCCUACGGGAGGCAGCAGUGGGGAAUAUUGCACAAUGGGCGCAAGCCUGAUGCAGCGACGCCGCGUGAGGGAUGACGGCCUUCGGGUUGUAAACCUCUUUCAGUAGGGAAGAAGCGAAAGUGACGGUACCUGCAGAAGAAGCACCGGCUAACUACGUGCCAGCAGCCGCGGUAAUACGUAGGGUGCGAGCGUUAUCCGGAAUUAUUGGGCGUAAAGAGCUCGUAGGCGGUUUGUCGCGUCUGUCGUGAAAGUCCGGGGCUUAACCCCGGAUCUGCGGUGGGUACGGGCAGACUAGAGUGCAGUAGGGGAGACUGGAAUUCCUGGUGUAGCGGUGGAAUGCGCAGAUAUCAGGAGGAACACCGAUGGCGAAGGCAGGUCUCUGGGCUGUAACUGACGCUGAGGAGCGAAAGCAUGGGGAGCGAACAGGAUUAGAUACCCUGGUAGUCCAUGCCGUAAACGUUGGGCACUAGGUGUGGGGACCAUUCCACGGUUUCCGCGCCGCAGCUAACGCAUUAAGUGCCCCGCCUGGGGAGUACGGCCGCAAGGCUAAAACUCAAGGAAUUGACGGGGGCCCGCACAGCGGCGGAGCAUGCGGAUUAUUUCGAUGCAACGCGAAGAACCUUACCCAAGCUUGACAUGUUCUCGAUCGCCGUAAAGAUACGGUUUCCCCUUUGGGGCGGGUUCACAGGUGGUGCAUUGUUGUCGUCAGCUCGUGUC